rnacentral:tRNA from 1 species
GAGGUGUUAGUCCAAAAAAGACAGCUAAUUUCGACUUAGUCAAUUAUGGUUUAAACCCAUAACACCACU